GACGUAGGGCGCGAGCGUUGUCCGGAUUUAUUGGGCGUAAAGAGCUCGUAGGCGGUCUGUCGCGUCGGCUGUGAAAACCCGAGGCUCAACCUCGGGCCUGCAGUCGAUACGGGCAGACUAGAGUGCGGUAGGGGAGACUGGAAUUCCUGGUGUAGCGGUGAAAUGCGCAGAUAUCAGGAGGAACACCGGUGGCGAAGGCGGGUCUCUGGGACGGUACUGACGCUGAGACGCGAAAGCGUGGGGAGCGAACAGG
rnacentral:rRNA from 1 species